GUCAUUCUGCAUCUAAUUAGUAGUAGAUCAGUAGUGCUGAUCUUGGCACCCAAAGCUGUCUGCUUUCCAAUUUUCUCUUGCAGUGUAGACUCGCCUUCCAACUUAAUAUUGAGGAUGUAGCAGAUGCUGCCAGCAUCUGCCUGUCCCUGAGACCUUUCCCAUCCCGGAGUGCCCUGGCUGCAUCUAGCCCAGCCCCCCUCAGCAAUUCUCAAUCAGUGACUGAUGGGCGUUGAGUUUAAAGGCCCUCAGGCGAGAUAAUUCGGUGGUCCAUGGUAUCUCAUUGGUAAAUCAUUGGAUGUGAUUCAUUUCUAAUCAAUUGCUGGGAUAGCUGGCUUAAUAAUUUAACUUUUUGGGGGCUGCCUUCUCUUCCCUCUUUUGCUGCCUCUCCCAAUAAACUAUUGAUAAUUAAAUCCUUAUCUCAGGAGAGGGAGAUAAGGAUUUAAUCUGCCUCUAGGGGGAGUCACCAUUAAGAGCUGUAGUGUCAGCUCGGUUCCUAUGAGGCUGUCUCUCAUAGCACAGUGAAAGAAGUACUGACAAGUGAACAGCCAACCUCCUUCAUAAAUAACGAGUAAAUAACACCUUUAAGAAUAGUGAGAUCAUGUUCUGACACUGGGGCCAGCUGAAGAUGAGAUUCUGGGGUGUUCAUUGAAAUGAAAUGUCACAAGACAAUCCAAGAAAAAGAGCUGAGCUCUUUCCCCAGCAGAGAGAAAACAUCAUUUUCUUAAUUCUAUAAGAAUCUGUCAUCUAGAUCUUUAGAUAAACUCUCUUGCCUCUUGUUUACAACUAUUUUCUGUGGAAGGAAUAAACAAGUGUUUUGUAUACACACACACAUAUAUAAUAUCUAUAUGCUUUCUGUCAUUCAAGCUUUCAUGCAUAAAAAUCUGGGAAGUCUCAUUGUGUAAACUGAAUAUCCCAUCUGGACUGUGGCAUAAACAAAAUAAAGGCUUUCAAGAUGGUGGCGUUUGUACUCAGGGUCAGCUUCACGGACAUGCAACAGAAGGGCCCUGCACUUGAUUUAAUUCUCUGCGGUCAUUGCCUUCAAAUCCUUAAUUAUUGUGAACAAGCCACCCCAGGCUCCCCCUUGGCACUGGGUCCUGAAAAUUGUUUAAUACAAGUUUAAUGAUACAAGAAAAAGAAGUCCAGCUCAAAGAACUACUGUUCCUGGUGAAUUUAGGGAAAAUUAUCACCCAAAAUGCAUGGUUUCCUGUCAGUCUGGAGGUUCCUGCUUUUCCUCGUCUGCCCAUGGACCCUGGCUGUUACACUAUAAAGGUUGAAUAACAAAGUAUCUUUGGGGAAAUCUAGAACCAACAAGGGCUUCCCUAGUGGCUCAGUGGCUAAAGAAGCUGCCUGUGAUACAGGAGAUGUAGGUUCAAUCCCUGUGUUGGGAAGAUCCCCUGAAGGAGGAAAUGGCAACCCACUCUGGCAUUUUUGCCUGGAAAACCCCAUGGACAGAGUCCAAAGGGUCACAAAGAAUCAGACACGACUAAGCACACAGGCGCUAUAGAACCAACAAAAGCUGGAGUUGCUCGAAGUUUCUGGGAGUCGUCAUUAAAGAUUUGCUGCACAGAGAGCAGGAAGAAAGCAGUGGCACUUGAUGAGCUCCGAUGCUUCUCAAACUGAUGCAUGCACGGGAAUACACACAGCUGUGACUGCUGCAACCACACGUUUGGCUUGAAGCCAGCAAGGAAGGUCAGGUGACCCAGAAAAUAAGGAGCAAAAGAAACGAGCCAUGUGAGCUACUUUUUUCUGCAUCAUGCAGGCAAAUGAACUGCCCUCCUAAAGGUAUUGAGGCAGGAGGUAGAUUUUCUAAUUGAGGCAGGAGGUAGAUGGGCCCCCCAGGGUUCAUUUCCUGUGAGUUGAAACUCCAAGAAGAGAGAAUAGCAGAACAAUUAAGGCGAGGAGCCUGGGCCCUGUCCAGACCACAUAUUUCUCGUUCAUGAAGUCAGGAGCCCUCUGACCACACAUGUGCAGAAAGCCUUCUUGGAGGCCAAAGAAGAGUUCUGUCAAGGGAUGCUCUACCCAGAUGCCUUUUCUAUAAAAUCUAUCUUGGCUAAGAGAUGCGUGUGCAUACAUGGGAGGAUCCUGAGAUAUACCAAACGUGGACUGUGAACCAGGCAAAUCAUAAUGAUUGACCAAAGGAAUCCUAGAAGAAAUACGCCUUAAAAGUGAUUCAAACCACCAUGAGGGUGCGACUCAGGGACUCUCCCUCUUAGCCUGCCCGUGUAUCUAUCCACAAGUACUGUACUCUUUUGCCUCCUAAUAAAUAUUUUACUUGCCUCACUACGUUUCAUCUUUGUGGAAAUUCUUUUCUACAAAGCCAAAGGACCAGGGCCUUUGUCACUGACCACUGGGCAAGUGGCUACAAUUUGGUGCUUUCACUGCUGUGACCUGGCCUCAACCUCUGGCUGGGAACCCAAGCCCCGCUCCAAGCCGUUGCAGGCUGAAGCCACCUAAGAUCAAUAUCUAGCAUUUACCAAACAUUUACUCUGUGUCUGGCCCUGUUCCAAGGUUUUUACAGUCCUUGCCUUCUUUAAUCCUUACAACAACCCUACAGACCAUGUACUAUUACUGUUCCUAUAGUGAACCGUCUUCUUGCCUGGGAAGAAAUCCCAUGGACAGAGGAGUCUGGCAGCCUACAAUCCAUGGGGUCGCAAAGAGUCAGACGUGACUGACUCAGCAACAACAAAGUGGCAAAUUUAGGACAAAUUGAGAGUGAAUGCAAUGCUUAUGCUCUUGCAUCCAGCAAGUCCUAGAGCCCGGAGUCAGACUCAGAGCCUAAAUUCCUAAUUACAACAUAGAGCUCCCGUCCCCAGAGAAAUAACUGACUCUGAGAGAUGUGAUGAGCAGAACCUGUGCUGAAAGGCCCCCAGUGGAGGAGGGGCAGGGGAAAGGCUGUGUGGCCAUGAUGCAAUCCUGCGCCCACAGUUCCGCAUUCCCCAAAGAGUGGGGGAGGGGCAGCA